rnacentral:misc_RNA from 1 species
CACCAAUUAGACUUGGUUACACGGCUGACGGAUUCCUUCUGGAACCUAGUAUCCGAGGUUAGUCGAAGCAGCGACACCGUGGCAGGGACAGCAGGAGGAAAACGCCGAUCAGAAGUCCUCGUGAAGGACCCAGAUCCCGCUUGGGUUCGAGAACUGGCAUAUUGCUGGUGACCUGAGCCAUCGGCGAGCCGACAACCUGCUCCUCCUCAUCACUAACUGUCGACGAGUCUGACCGCAUCGGUCAUCGAGCACGUUCCUGGCAUCGUGAUGGCCGAAAGGUGGUGAGUGUUCCCGCCGAUAACC